rnacentral:rRNA from 1 species
UACAGAGGAUGCAAGCGUUAUCCGGAAUGAUUGGGCGUAAAGCGUCUGUAGGUGGCUUUUUAAGUCCGCCGUCAAAUCCCAGGGCUCAACUCUGGACAGGCGGUGGAAACUACCAAGCUGGAGUACGGUAGGGGCAGAGGGAAUUUCCGGUGUAGCGGUGGAAUGCGUAGAGAUCCGGAAGAACACCGGUGGCGAAGGCGGCCUGCUGGGCAGUAGCUGACGCUGAUGCGCGACAGCGUGGGGAGCAAACAGG